UGGGGAAUAUUGCACAAUGGGGGAAACCCUGAUGCAGCGACGCCGCGUGAGCGAAGAAGGUUUUCGAAUCGUAAAGCUCUGUCCUAUGGGAAGAUAAUGACGGUACCAUAGGAGGAAGCCCCGGCUAACUACGUGCCAGCAGCCGCGGUAAUACGUAGGGGGCAAGCGUUGUCCGGAAUCACUGGGCGUAAAGGGUUCGCAGGCGGAAAUGCAAGUCAGUUGUGAAAGGCAGAGGCUCAACCUCUGUAAGCAAUUGAAACUGUAUUUCUUGAGAUGUGGAGAGGCAAGUGGAAUUCCGAGUGUAGCGGUGAAAUGCGUAGAUAUUAGGAAGAAUACCGGUGGCGAAGGCGACUUGCUGGACACAAACUGACGCUGAGGAACGAAAGCGUGGGUAGCAAACAGG
rnacentral:rRNA from 1 species